rnacentral:lncRNA from 1 species
ACAAAUCAUUACCACUGCCUGCGAAGUUUCUUGUGAGAAGGGAAUUCCUGAGAGAUUCCAAGAAAACGAAAAACAAAGAGAGAAUCUAGACUGUCAAAUGCAAGGACAUUUUAAAAGAUAAAAUCAAGAUCAAUGGAGAAAGCAAAGGAGGUGAAUGAAAAUUCAAGAGGAACAAUAGUUUCUUUAAAUCCAAAGUUCUUGGAUUUAUCCACAUCUUAAAUUUCUUGUUUUUUUUUCCAGUCACCCUGCUCUUCUGGCCAGUGCCCCACUCGGGCUCUUUGCCAUUGACCAUGUGUUAAGAUGGAAUUUGAAAUGGGAUCUCUCUACAAUAACAACGUCUCAACCUGAAACUUGGAGCUGGGCCUCUUUACACUUAUCCCAGGUGCAGCCCCUUUGA